UAGGCAGUGAGUCUUCAGUUGUGGCGGGUUGUGGCGUGCUUCCUGCCCACGCGCCGUUUGGCUGCGUCUCGGAGAAUGUCGUUUGUGGCGGAGUCGGCGAUGAAAAUGGGGCGGGUGAAGAGCUUGAAAGAGAAAACAGGCCUUCCUCUGCCAUAUACGGCCUACAGUGAGUAUUAGCUCCAUUAUACCCUGGAGAAAUGAGAUUCAGGAAGAUUUAAAUGACUUCUGUUUAUAAGACCAGAAGGAACCAGUACCCACUAGGCUUCCCCACAUUUUCUCAGAAGAUGGGAAUUAUUCCGUGCACCAGAAUAGCCACACAAAGUACCACGAAGCUGUACGGAAGGUGUUGUUAAAGACAUGUUUAUGGAUCACUCUACUCUCAAUGACAGAACUUUCAGUCUAUACUGAGGAGGAUAUGGUGGCAGACGGACAAGAUGAACUGCGGAAGGAGUGCAGAGGGGGAAGGAGGGAGAAGGUGCUGCUUCAGAUGGAUGACUAAUGGGAGGGCUCAAGAAGGCAAAGUAAACAGAUUGGACUAGAA